GAUGAACGCUGGCGGCGUGCCUAAUACAUGCAAGUAGAACGCUGAAGGAGGAGCUUGCUCUUCUGGAUGAGUUGCGAACGGGUGAGUAACGCGUAGGUAACCUGCCUGGUAGCGGGGGAUAACUAUUGGAAACGAUAGCUAAUACCGCAUGACAACAGUUAUUGCAUGAUAACUGUUUAAAAGGGGCAACUGCUCCACUACCAGAUGGACCUGCGUUGUAUUAGCUAGUUGGUGAGGUAACGGCUCACCAAGGCGACGAUACAUAGCCGACCUGAGAGGGUGAUCGGCCACACUGGGACUGAGACACGGCCCAGACUCCUACGGGAGGCAGCAGUAGGGAAUCUUCGGCAAUGGACGGAAGUCUGACCGAGCAAUGCCGCGUGAGUGAAGAAGGUUUUCGGAUCGUAAAGCUCUGUUGUAAGAGAAGAACGAGUGUGAGAGUGGAAAGUUCACACUGUGACGGUAUCUUACCAGAAAGGGACGGCUAACUACGUG
rnacentral:rRNA from 1 species